rnacentral:tRNA from 1 species
GUCUUUGUAGUAUAUAAUUACC